rnacentral:snRNA from 1 species
ACGGAAUCGAGAGCUCCA